UCAAAGUUUUAUAGAAAAAUAGUUCAAAGUAUUUAUGUAAACAUUAGUGUGGGAGUGUGUGUGGAGAAUCCACCAGCCUCACAAGGUGGAUUCUGAUUGGAUGACUUUGGAACAUGACUUUUUUUCUAUACAAAAAUAUUUCCAUUUAUUGAUUAUAAUCAUAUCUGGUGGGCAAAAGAAAACAAUUAGUCAGGAUAUAUAGCGAUGAAGGACUACGUUAUAAAUGAUGGCAUAACAUGGCAUCAUUUAUACCAUUAUGGCAUAAGCAUAAUACUGUCUUGAAAUAAAUGCUUAGCUUCAAUCUGUAAACAUUAGUAUAUGGAUGGGCUCCGCCUCCAGUACUCUUAUCAGUUAAAACAUUCUGCCACCAAAAACAACAACAUAUCUACAAAAUCUCUCUUUCCCUCGCAUUUUACUUUCACUUUCAAAUCGAGGCGUGUGCAUUUUCUUCUAGCACGAAAUUAAGGUCGCCAGUCUACUAUGAACGAGGAGAGAGAAGAGGGGGGACCUCCUACCUCCGAAACCACUCAGUCUGAGGAUCAUGACCACCGGAGAACGGCUAAGAGAUAUCUAACUCCUUAAAGAGCUACUUUACCGCUGGAAUUAUGAAUUAAAAAAUUCUAUGUAUUAUGCAUUUACAAACAUUUCAAAAUUGGUUCAUCCUAGCCUGAGAAAAGGUAGAAAGAGUGUUUUUAUGGUCCCUCUGGCUCAGAAAUCCUCCAACUACCACAGUGCAUUGCGCUCGCCCUGCCCGCCUGUUUACAUUUGGAGGGGGAAGGCCCUAUUAGCGCGAGUGGUAGGGGAAGCAAACUUUGUGUAAACAUAUCCCCGUGAUACGUUGACUAGUUUAGACUUUGUUUGUAUAUUACUGUACAGCAUAAAAACAUUUGCUAAUUACAGUAGCUCAGCAUAUCAAAUA